rnacentral:rRNA from 1 species
UACAGAGGAGCCAAGCGUUGUCCGGAUUGACUGGGCGUAAAGCGCACGCAGGCGGGUGCGCGCGUGGGGUGUGAAAUCUGGCCGCUUAACGGCCAGGCGCCAUCCCAUACGGCGCGCCUGGAGCCUUGCAGAGGUCGGUGGAAUUGCCGGUGUAGUGGUGAAAUGCGUAGAGAUCGGCAGGAACACCCAGGGGGAAACCAGCCGCCUGGGC